UACGGGGGGGGCAAGCGUUAUUCGGAAUUAUUGGGCGUAAAGGGCGCGUAGGCGGUUGAAUAAGUCAGAUGUGAAAGCCCUUGGCUUAACCAAGGAAGUGAAUUUGAUACUAUUUGACUUGAGUAUGGGAGAGGGAAGUGGAAUUCCUGGUGUAGAGGUGAAAUUCGUAGAUAUCAGGAGGAACACCGGUGGCGAAAGCGACUUCCUGGACCAAUACUGACGCUGAGGCGCGAAGGCGUGGGGAGCAAACCGG
rnacentral:rRNA from 1 species